rnacentral:rRNA from 1 species
UGGGGAAUAUUGGACAAUGGGCGAAAGCCUGAUCCAGCCAUGCUGCGUGUGUGAAGAAGGUCUUCGGAUUGUAAAGCACUUUAAGUUGGGAGGAAGGGCAGUAAGUUAAUACCUUGCUGUUUUGACGUUACCGACAGAAUAAGCACCGGCUAACUCUGUGCCAGCAGCCGCGGUAAUACAGAGGGUGCAAGCGUUAAUCGGAAUUACUGGGCGUAAAGAGCGCGUAGGUGGUUUGUUAAGUUGGAUGUGAAAGCCCCGGGCUCAACCUGGGAACUGCAUCCAAAACUGGCAAGCUAGAGUACGGUAGAGGGUGGUGGAAUUUCCUGUGUAGCGGUGAAAUGCGUAGAUAUAGGAAGGAACACCAGUGGCGAAGGCGACCACCUGGACUGAUACUGACACUGAGGUGCGAAAGCGUGGGGAGCAAACA